CACCCAUCAAGCCUGGCUUGGUAUUGGGCGCCGCGGCCCCCCGCGCGCCUCAAAGUCUCGUCGGCCGGGUCGUCUCCCCGUAGCGUUGUGGUUAAACGUUCGCUAAUCGGGUCGGGGCGGCUCCGCCGUUAAACCUCUCAA
rnacentral:misc_RNA from 1 species